UACAGAGGGUGCGAGCGUUGUCCGGAAUCACUGGGCGUAAAGGGCGCGUAGGUGGCGACCCAAGAUCGAUGGUGGAAAGCCUCGCCGCUCAACGGCGAGUCGGCCACCGAUACUGGGUUGCUUGAGCACUGUAGAGGCUAAUGGAAUUCCGGGUGUAGCGGUGGAAUGCGUAGAGAUCCGGAAGAACACCGGUGGCGAAGGCGGUAGCUGGGCAGU
rnacentral:rRNA from 1 species